UAGGGAAUCUUCCGCAAUGGGCGAAAGCUUGACGGAGCAACGCCGCGUGAGUGAUGAAGGUCUUCGGAUCGUAAAACUCUGUUAUUAGGGAAGAACAAAUGUGUAAGUAACUAUGCACGUCUUGACGGUACCUAAUCAGAAAGCCACGGCUAACUACGUGCCAGCAGCCGCGGUAAUACGUAGGUGGCAAGCGUUAUCCGGAAUUAUUGGGCGUAAAGCGCGCGUAGGCGGUUUUUUAAGUCCGAUGUGAAAGCCCACGGCUCAACCGUGGAGGGUCAUUGGAAACUGGAAAACUUGAGUGCAGAAGAGGAAAGUGGAAUUCCAUGUGUAGCGGUGAAAUGCGCAGAGAUAUGGAGGAACACCAGUGGCGAAGGCGACUUUCUGGUCUGUAACUGACGCUGAUGUGCGAAAGCGGGGGGAUCAAACAGG
rnacentral:rRNA from 1 species